UAGCCAGCAGAGAGGACCUGCAGCAGCAGCAGCUGCAUGCAUUGUCUCAGGAUCUAUUACAGUAUAUGGGCGCCCCCUAGCGCACGAAUUUCACGCUUCCAACCCAGAUUCAAUUUACCGUCCGACGCGGAAACAGCUUCAGUCUCGUCUCUCUCAUCGAGCAAACUAACGAGCAGCACUUAAAAAUGAUGUUUGUUUAAAUUCUGUUUUACAUGACUUGGACAGCAAAGCUUUGCGAGUUGCCAAAGUUGGAUUUACUUUUUGCCUCUCCAGUCAGUCCCUGGGGCGCAUUUAGAACAAUCACGUCUUUGUUCUAAAACAAAUUCGCCGAUUAUAUUUGUCUGCAUGACUAUUUUGUCGCCUUUAUUUACAGAUCCCGCCAACAAGAGGAGUCUGUAAAUAAGUUCGAGAGGAUCCGACUCACCGAGGAGCAGCGUUUUUUUGAACCGAGAGGUAAGUAUUUGGAUUAUUUGACAUAUUUAGCAACAUUUUAAUGCUUAGAUUUAAAUUAAAAUUUAAAAUAGUUUAAAAAAACGCACAGAUUUUCAGUUAAAUGUAAUAUUUUCUGCCGCGAAAGCGUCUAAAGCACAUCAAUGCGGUGCGUAAAAACGCGAACAAGUCCGGUUAUAUGUUUGUGCGUAAAACCCAACAUUUAAUUUAUUAAACAAACAAAUCAAAAUAAAUGCAAAAUAUUAAUCCAUAAAAAUAUUUAAUAGGCAGGAGUCUGUAUUCUUAUAGCAUACAAACCUACCAAAUGCAUAUGAUGCAGAUUCGUCCGUAGCGGGAUGCAUCUUCUCUCUUAUUCAGAAUGUAUGGAAACAGUGCUCAGAUUGAAACAGGCAACGCUUCCUCUCCGACAGACGGGAGCAAACACAAAAAAAGAACGAUGUUUAUUUGGAAAACUGCAAUGUCUGAUGGUCAAUGCAAAAAACUUUCUUUGCAGAGCCCGGAACAAACAAACAAACAAACAAACUGCUUCACGUCAUGUGUUGAUGAGCGAGCUAUUGGAAAUAUGAGGCUUCGUCCGAGCAGAAAAGUCAUUUGUCUGCGUCUAGGAAAUGAGUGGCGGACUGGACUUUCUUUUUUUCUCUGCAGGCAAGCGUUCCCCCCCCGUGCGCCUUUUCUCUCCUACAGUAAUGUGGCCAAAGCGCGCUCGUACGCCGCUGCUUUGUGUGAGCUAUUGAGAGGGGAGGGAGGGGGGAGGAGCGGGAGGGGGCUGCAGUUAGGACGGACACCUGUCUUUUAGUGUGGCGAUGUGGUAAUAUUAGAGUAGCAGGGAAAGGCGAGUGCUUUAAAGUGAGUUGGAAGAAAAAUAAUAACAUUUUAUUAAAUAAAAUAUUUAAAAUGUUACGGAAGCCUGUGAGGAAAAUGUUAUUCUUAUUAUUAUUUUAGUAAUUGCCCUUAUUUUUGUCUGUAAUAUUGCGUUAAUUAAGUUUUCCAAUUAAGGAUUCAUAUUAAACAAUUAAAAAUUAACCCAAACUUUUUAACACCCCCCUCCCCUCUAUUAACGUUUCCAGCCCGUCUCAAUCCUGUCAUUUGUCCCCGACAUUCCCAAAGUUUCCUCCUCUCCCUCUAAGCAGUGGAUAAAAGCGCUUUUUACGCACAGCGAGCCCGCGCGCACACAACAAUAAACGCUGCCCAACGGGACCAGGAUCGAUUAAGGGGAGACAAAGGAUGUCGCCUGCACUAAAUAUUUACUGAUCACACACAAAUAGCCGACUCCUUAACGAUUUCUCAUGCUCCGGGCUGCGAGAAAAGGACUAAAUCGCUUUAUUAUUGUUGGUAAAACAAAGCGCGCGCUCUGAGAGGCAGGAGUGGAGAUGUGCUGAUUGGAGUGAUUGCGGUUAAAUGAAUCGAUAGUGAGGCAGAUAGUUUAGAUUUACGGGUUUGCAGAGAAAAAAAAUAAAUAAACUUUCACUUCCAUAAGUUAAAUUUGCGCCCUCCCCGUGGCGUCUUAAACAGUUCAUUUUCUAGGAAAUUUGCCUCUUAAAUGCUUAGAAAAAAAGAACUGCCCUCCCGAUGACUCACCUCUAUUAUCACAAUAAAAUGUAGUGAAGAAAUACAUAAAAUCUAAUCUGCGUCUUCUCCAAAUCCCCACAUGCAGAUAUAGGAUUCUGACCUGGAGGUCUUCAAGUUCCCGGCCUGAUUAACCCUUUCAGGAGCAAAGAUCACUCCAUUGAUGGCGACUGGACCCAAUAUGCCAUGGCAUUUUUAUCUGCAACAUUGCAUAAUAGCAAUCAGCAGCCUUUAACACUCCAGCAAAGGUUGCCGCUCUUGUCUCUCCGUAGUUGUGCUUCAUGGCGACGAUGCCGUUGGCUGUGUGUUAAGGAAAAGAGUUUAAGUGUCUGCGUUUGUGUUUUGCUUCAUUUACAGAACAUCUUAUGAAAAAAAAAAAGUGAGGUUUCAAAAGGUCAAGAGGCGGCAGAAUUUCCAUUUAAUACAUUCAAAUGCAGAGAUUUGUGCGCUGCCUACCUGCCUGCACGUCUGUCUGCCUCAAGGGCUGCUAUCUAAAAAGGGAACGAUUCCAGAUAGAUAACCAUGCUCAAUUUGCCAAUGACAGAUCAUAAUGCCAGUUUCAACAGAUAGGAAUCAAUUUGUCUCAAUGAUCGCUCUGUAGGCUAACCGCCAGCAGUGUGCUCCUGAUGUAUAUGGAAAUGCUUAUUGUUUAAAUCAUUGCUGGCGGCUCUGAAGUGAUCAAAACUGCUGAUAGGAAGAUGAGUGGUGUAAACAGAGCCUUGUUUUGGCUGCUAAAGACUGCAUCAAUGGCGCAUGCAUGGCGAUUACUUCAGGCAGCAGCAUUGUAACAGCGGUGGCCACGGGGUCAAUGGUUUAACUCUGAGGACUCGCUUGAAAAGUCUGUAUGGAGGAAUUGUGUGAUAAGUGCUCUCUAACCCCCAGAAACUACCGCUGAAGCACCCUUCGGCGCAGCAGCUUAAAUCCCAUCUGUCCCGGUGGAGCAGCACGGUGACCAUCAGUGCUAAACUGCGGUCGGACUGAGCACUUACGUGUCUCUUUGAGCCCCCUCUUUUCUCUUUAAAAAGAGGAGAGUGGGCCGUCGGCGCGCCACAGACUCCUUUUUUUUUCUUUUUUUUUAUGUUCCUGAAGUGACAAAGUUGUGGAGAUGACAAGAGAGAAAGCUGUGGCAGCAUUCAGGUCUAAGCCAGACAUGUGGCCCCACAGACCGCAGACAGAGGAUUGGAUUACUGUAAUCUAAGGUGUAAUGCGGUAGCACCAGGGGAUAUGUUAAAUGUCCACAGAAGUAUUUAGAAGUCGAACUUGAGCUUCAACCUUCUAUUUAGCAUUAAAUUGAGCGGUUCAUUUUCUUGAACCCCAAUUCUAAUCAUACAACACAUUAAAUUAGAUCUAAUUUGACCCAUUUGUUACAUUAAUCAGGUUUCAUUUCAGUUUUUUGCGUGUUUGUACGUUCCCAUAAAAAAGAUUCCUGUAAAUUAGCGUCUUAUGAAUUUGAAUUACAGCUAAACUUAGAAUUAACACUGCAGUGAAUUUAAACUGUGUCUAAUAAAGUUUUUACUUAUUAGCCGUGUCUUCAUUGCUUUUCUCUGUAUACCCUAAAGUGAGGAUUAAUCUUUCAGGUUCAUUUAAAAAUUGUAAAUCUCCAUUUUAUGAUGAAAAUUCCUUAUCUCCUGGCAUGUUGCUAAAAUCUAUAAUGAGGAGCAGAACUUUAAGGAUCUUUAUUUGGCCUAAUCCAACUAGUUAUAGCAUAAAAAUAUGUAUUUGCAAUGUGGUUACAGGUCAGAUUUGAUAGUCUGGGCUUUGUUGUCAGGACAAAGACGAUUGUGAGAGUUUUACAUCAAAUCAAAGACGGUCACGCCCAAGACAGAGCACAAUAAGAGGACGCUCCAACAAUACCGAGAGAGAAAUCUCAGCAGAAGGUCACUUCUUUAUUAGCAAUAAAACGUUAUUUACAUUUUUCUGAACGCAUCUUGUUGUGUUGGAACUAUUUGAGGUUGUUCAGCUCUAUUUCACUUAUAGACUGAUAAAAGGGAAAUGAAGGAAGAUGCAAAUUGAGUUUUUUUUUCCACUUUUUUCCACUGAAUAAAUCUGUUUUGGAUGUGAUCUCAAAGGGAAAAUUCUUUUUUAAAGGUAAAAAAAUGACAAGAGUUCAAACAAUUUAUGCUGAUAAAAAGAGAAUUUCUUUUCCAACAUUUAGGAAUUAUGAAGGAAUUAUGAUAAUUUUG